AAAAAAUAUGGCUGGAACUCUCAACUUUGUUUAUGCUAUGAUUUUAUUUAUCUCCUUAUUUCUUGUUGCUGGGGGGGAGGAAAGUGACAGUUAGUAUAUGGAGAAUGUAUUGCAAUGGUGAGAGGAAUAGUUCACAAAAUUGGCGAAUUUGUUGGAGUUGGUUUUGAUUUCCAAGGUGAAAUAGGAAGAAGAAGAGAAAUGUGAAAGAGAAUAGAGACCCCGACACAUGUAUAGAAUGAAAUACAAUACAAGUAGAUGUAUAAAAUCAUGAAGAAGUUACUAAUGCACCGUAGGCGGCAUUGUUUACUCUCACACACAAUCAUUGGCCUAGAACUAGAAGAGAACUGAUCAAGGAAGAUGCUCAAUUCUAUUGUAUUUGAAUAACCUCCCAAUUGAAAGAAAUAAAAAUAAUAGGAGAGAUUGGUCAAUCAAUUACGAGUAAAAAAUCUCACGUGUACUUUUAUGUAUGUAUAUAUAAUAAUAAAUCUUUAAUAGAAAA